CAUAUCAUUUUGAAAUACUGGUUCUUGUUUGAUCACUGAAGUUAAGCAAUGUCGAGCCUUGUCAGUACUUAGAUGAGUGACUGCUUGGGAAUACCAGGUGCU